UACGAAGGGGGCUAGCGUUGCUCGGAAUUACUGAGCGUAAAGGGCGCGUAGGCGGUCCUGAUCGUCGGAUGUGAAAGGCCUGGGCUCAACCUGGGAACUGCAUCCGAUACGGCGGGACUGGAGUGUGGGAGAGGUUGGUGGAAUUCCCAGUGUAGAGGUGAAAUUCGUAGAUAUUGGGAAGAACACCGGUGGCGAAGGCGGCCAACUGGACCACAACUGACGCUGAGGCGCGAAAGCGUGGGGAGCAAACAGG
rnacentral:rRNA from 1 species